CAUCUUUCCUUAUCCCUAUUCUCCCGACCCCCACCUUCCUGCCCAUCGCCAUGGAUCGCGCCGCCGCCCUACGCCCCAACCAUUGUCAUUGCUCCCUGCCCCAUCCGCCGCCGCCACCCACCGCAUCCACACUCUGUCGCAUCCCACUGCCGCCUCCACCGCCACCUUGAACCAUCUCUCUCCUUGGUCCUCUCUCUUUGAGUAGCAUGCGGCUUCCGGCUGCGUGGUGGAGACGCGGCUGGUCGAGGGAACGCGAGUAAGGUGUACUGUGUAUCGUUCAUCGAUUUGUUCCCAUCUCCUGUUCCUCUCCAAUCGAACGUCGUGUCUAAAGUUGCUGCAACACAUGGUGCUCUCCUUUCCUGUGGUGAUGCAUAUAAGUGACAACAAUGGUGUCCUAUUGUCCCCUCCACACGUCUGACCGCCAUGGUGCGGAAGUAGCCGGAGAAGAUCGCACUCCGCGUAGCAAAUUCUGCCGUGUUGUGUGGCUGCCCGACAACAUGAGAAGUUUGAUUUAAAAUGGUUUUUUCCACAACCAAUUCCAAUAUGGCCAAUUGAGUUGCUUCUGUCAUGAAAAGUUUGACAUGAGUCCUAACUUCUAUAGGUAAGGAAUUGAUUUCCCUCUUCAUAGGUUUCUAUCUCUUUGAAUUUAUAUUUUCGUUGCCACCAAAUUACAUUAUUAUUUUCUGCAAUUAAAGUUGAAAUCCGGGGUUUAUGUAUGCUGGUAAAAAAUAAAGCAGUGUUCUUGAUAUUCCUCAUCUCUUUUUUAACACAAUGUGCAUCUUAUAUUCACUCAUGUAAGCAAUCUCAGCAAGACACCUCUCCUCUAUCUUCAAACCACACUCUAAGUCCAUGGUUUUCCUCGGCGCGUCAAACUAUAGUUGGAUCAGUGUUUCAAAAGACGUGGCGUGGGAUUGAUGGACACCACGGAGUGAGAGGGAUCAGCAAGGUGAGGUUCCCAGGGCUAUGAAUUAGCAAGUACUUUGUAUUUUCUUUAUUAUUGCAUUUCCCGUUUGUCCUAAAUUCUACCUCCAUCGAUCUGUAUUAAUUGUCGUUGACUUAGUACAUCAGCGGCAAUUAAUAUGGUUCACAUGGAGUACUUGAUUCAUUUCUUGCUUUCCACUGUUUGUAAUAUAAACCAAACUUUUCACGUGUUUAUGUUGCUUGAAUAUUUUAGAACGAGUUAGAAGUAAUACAACAUGUUGUUCAUAGUACAUCAUCGCUUGGCUCUGUAGACUACUAAAAGAAUUUCUCUGACUGGCCACAACAGAGGUCACUCGCCUAUACACAACUCUUUCAGGUUGUUGAAUCUCGUCUAAUAUAAUAGAAUCUUUUUGAAUUAUGUUUUGGCUAGAAUUACUAUAUAGGAGUAUGAUUUAUCUUCGUCUCCUUGCGCAUUCAUUUUGCAUGAGAAUCGAGGAGGUCAAACACUGACAGAAAUCAAAACGGUGACACACUUAUCAGACAGUGACAUGGUACUUCUUUACAAACAAGGUACAAACUGGAAGAAAGCUCUUAGAAUGUGUUAAACUUAUUAGUCCAUUAUGUCGUCACACUUGACAAAGAGGUUGCUGAGCACAGCCAUGGGUGGUACUGCCCGGUCUCUAUUUUGUUUUCAGUAGUGAAGCUACCACUAUUUUUUGUUUUCAGUGUGAAAACUCCAGACUUUCCCCAGCACGUAUGUUCUUUGUUAUUUUUUUGUUUGUCCUAAAUACUACUUGAUUUAUGUUUCUUGCUUUCCACUAUUUGUAAUAUGACUCCUCACGUGUUUAUGUUGCCUGAAUAUUUCAGACCGAGUUAGAAGCAAAACCACAUGUCGUUCGAUGUUCACAGCUAAAAUGAUAGCUUGGAUGUUUAGACUACUUCAAGAAUUUCUCUGACUGCCCACUGUUGUUUAUAAACUACAGAGGCUCAAUGUCCUAUACACAACUCCUUCAGGUUGUUGAACCUCGCCUAAUCUAAUAUAUGUUUUGGCCAGAAUUACAUAUAGGAGUAUGAUUAUCUUCGCCUCUUUCUUACGCAUUCCUUCUGCAUGAGAAUUGAGGAGGCCAAAGAUUGAUAUAGAUCGGAAUAAUGACAAACUUAUCAGACGGUGACAUGGUACUUCUUUACAAACAGGGUACAAGCUGUAAGUUAUUAGUCCAUGAUAUCAUAAUACCUAAUAAAGAGGUUGUUGAGCUCAGUCUUAAAAAUAGAAAGGGCCAUUGGUGGUAGUGCCCGGUCUCUAUUUUGUUUUCAAUAAUGAAGCUACCACUAUUUUUUGUGGAAACAACCUCUUACAGAAAUGUAGGGAAAGGCUGCGUACUAUAGACCCAAAGUGGUCGGACCCUUCCCUGGACCCUGCGCAAGCGGGAGCUACAUGCACCAGGUUGCCCUUUUGUUUAGAAAACACAUGUCGUUCAUAGUACUUUUGGAUGGUCACAACUAAAAUGAUAGCUUGGCUUCGUAGACUACUUCAAGAAUUUCUCUGACUGCACACUGUUGUUUAUAAACUACAGAGGCUCACUGUCCUAUACACAAUUGUUUCAGGUUUUUGAACCUCGCCCAAUCUAAUAGAAUCCUUUUGAAUUAUGUUUUGGCCAGAAUCACUAUAUAGGAGAAUGAUUUAUCUUCGUCUCUUUCUUACACAUUCCUUCUGCUUGAGAAUUGAGGAGGUCAAAGACUGACAUAAAUGAAAUGGUGAUACACUUAUCACAGGUGACACGGUACUUCUUUACAAACAGGGUACAAUCUGCAAGAAAACUCUUAGAAAUUCUUAAACUUAUUAUUCCGUGAAAUCGUAAUACCUGACAAAGAGGUUGCUGCCCAGUCUCUGUUUUGUUUGCAGUAGUUAAGCUACCACUAUUUUUUGUUUUCAUAAACUCCAAAUUUUCAACAUUGUUAGCCAGAUCCUCAAACUAUCUUGACGAAGCUUUAGUCUCUAUUUUGUAAGCUCAUGGAGAUUUUCGUUGGGUACAAUUUGCAUGACAAUAUCUUAUAUAUGUUGUGGACUAUUAUUACAUGUUGAUAAUGCUACUUCAGAAAACAUGUGAACGCCAUCCUAGGACAGAGAAAGAGGCACUAUUGGCUAGGGAUUACAUGCUGGCUACCACCGACUGAAAAUAUGAGACAUGGAUUGACACAGAAACAAGAGAAAGAAGAAACAAAAAUAAACAUCAUAGGUCAGACGACGAGAAUAGUGGUUUCUCUCAGCGUCGCAUGCUUAGUUGGUGCAGCAUGCUCCUGGGACAUACCAGGCUAAGUGAUGUUCCAGAGUACACAUGGAAUGUGACUUGAUGGAAGUCAACGGCUUGAUCGCAGGGUGAUUGGAUUUUCCGUUCUCUUGCACAAUUCAUUUAUAUGCUCAUUUCAAAUCAGUUAGCAAUGCAUCCAAUGUGGAAACAAAGUUGGAAAAACUUAUGUUUUCUAUGUACAUCUGAUUUCCAUGCUUUGGUGUUACUUCUUUUUGGCUUUAGUGGGUCCUGCAAGUGUGCAUUGAGAAAAAUAUAUUUCAAACUAUGUGGUAAAAGGUUCCAAUGUAUAUAAUUAUUAUGUGCUAACGCACAAAAGUCCUCAAGUAUAUCAUCCAUCAUGCCUAACUUCUAUCUAUGGCGCGCCCAUGCUGCUUCAUGUUGUUAGUACAUGGAACUCCUUCGGUGACUAUCUUAACUCCUGAAGCUAUGGCCUACUCUAUUGCCAGUUUCGUAUAGAGUACGAUCCUUUUCACCCUUUUUAUGAAGUUGGCUAUAUUAUUUUGGAGGGAGAGAGGAAGAAAGGUUGAUGAAUGAUGACCCACAAUCCAUUGGUGAACCCUAGCAAACUUGGAAAUGAUAAUAUUAGGCAUUCUGGUGUAAGCUAGAAGUAAGAAAAAACAGCAGUAUCAUCUACUCAUUUGCCUACUUGAAUACAAAACAUGAUUACUUCCUCAAUUUUAAGCAGGCAUGAUGAUUCACGAGUUUAUAUAUGGGGAAAAUACAUUAGCCCCUUGAUGUAUUGCUAUAAUUGUUUUUUACGUAACAUCUGUUAGAUAUAAUCCUCACAUUGUAUAUAUAUACUCGUAUUGCUAAUUCUUCAAGUUGACUUUUACCUAAGUCA